rnacentral:rRNA from 1 species
GCAGCCGCGGUAAUACGGAGGAUCCAAGCGUUAUCCGGAUUUAUUGGGUUUAAAGGGUGCGUAGGCGGUUUGAUAAGUUAGAGGUUAAAUGUCAGGGCUCAACUCUGGCCUGCCUCUAAUACUGUUGGACUAGAGAGUAGAUGCGGUAGGCGGAAUGUAUGGUGUAGCGGUGAAAUGCGUAGAGAUCAUACAGAACACCGAUUGCGAAGGCAGCUUACCAAACUAUAUCUGACGUUGAGGCACGAAAGCGUGGGUAGCAAACAGGAUUAGAUACCCC